ACGCUUGUGUCUUCGUGAGGAAGAAAUAUUUGUCAUUUGUUUCCGAGACGUUGACUGAGAGUGUAUUCCAAAUUCAUUACGGAAUUGAGGUGUCGAUCUACAUUUUCAGCCAUUAAAUGCAUUCUGGCAUAUAAUUUCACUUUGCCAAUGUGAUGACGUGGGUCGGAACUGCUCUGUCCAUCUUGUCGAAAUGUCAACCAUUGUUAGCUGUACGUCUCAUCUCAUGCAUAAACACUUCAGAGCUAUUGAUUUUCAGGUCGGAGAUGGAGAUCCCUUUGCUCAACUGUUGCAGAAAUUUAGAACACGACAAAGUCUGAGCUUCAUGGCUGUAGUAUCAUUAAUGUCAUUUUGUUGCAGCCAGCUGGUGAAAAGUGUAAUUGAGUCUUGUUGAGCUGCAGCUGCUGCAUGCAUUUUAUCAAGCUGGUGUUAUUCCAAGUGUCACUGCACAAAAACUUAUAAGUAUGUUAACUUAUAAGACUACCUCAAUUCUUUCCCCUCAUUGAGCGAUGCCCGAGCCAGAAUUGUAACACUCCAGGUGAAAUUGAGCUCUUUGAAAUUGGACAACCAUGCCAAGGAUAAAUUCCUCUGUUUCCUGUACCGGCUAGACGUUUUGUAAGAAACACUUCAGAACUAUUCAGGAUUAUCAGUCUAGUAAAAGGAUGAACUUCUUUGUUGCUGCCCAACGUACAUAUGGAUUUGAUGCAGCCAGCUGAGGGCUUUAACUCUUGUUUAGUGUUUUAUGUUCGCGUAGUUGCUGUCCGAUGUGGCACGUUGUUGAAGCCUAUGCUGGUGAAGGAUCUUUCUACAUCAAGUUCAAUUGGCCGUUCCUUGGUGCUGAUGUUGUGUUACCGAAGUUGCAUCAUAUUUUGUUAAAUUGUCAUCGUGACUAUUGCAGUUUUACCGUUUAUUCAGAAUUAAGUUCAGAAGCAACAAAAACAAAUAUGGGAUGUUCAUGUCAAACAAAUAAUAAACAUGUUUCCGGGAUUGGGAAAGGAAAGUGGUGGAUGUUGGAGGGGGGAUAUUUCAAGUUUGGAUAAAAAUUCAGUUAAUCUAUAACCCUACAAACGUAUCCCUACCAAUUAAUCUCCAAACCCCACAAACAUAUACCUUCCAAUCCUUCAAACCCCGAAAACAUACACCUACCAACCCUUAAAUCUAUACCCUUAACCCCAUAAACCAAUGUCAACCCUUAACCAUGUAAUAUCUGUAAUAAAUAAAAAAAAAAAACACUAUAUGAAA